GAGGACCUGCUGAUCUACUGGUUCUAGUAGAUUUUAUAAAUGGUUGGAUCUUCUCCGCCUGUAAUCCUCCGCCUUCAGCACCACCAGUCAGGUGGAGGAAGAUAAGAGAACCCAGUUGACA